rnacentral:pre_miRNA from 1 species
ACGACAUUCGAACGUCGCGUCAGUCUACCGAGCAAUAUCACCCGCUCGGUGGAAGAUGUUCCCUUUGUCGU